rnacentral:rRNA from 1 species
CCUACGGGGGGCUGCAGUGAGGAAUAUUGGUCAAUGGGCGGAAGCCUGAACCAGCCAAGUAGCGUGCAGGAUGACGGCCCUACGGGUUGUAAACUGCUUUUAUACGGGAAUAACGCGCCUUACGUGUAGGGCUUUGCAUGUACCUGUUUAGAAAGCUCCGGCUAACUACGUGCCAGCAGCCGCGGUAAUACGUAGGGAGCAAGCGUUGUCCGGAAUUACUGGGCGUAAAGGGCGCGUAGGUGGGUGCUUAAGUCAGGUGUGAAAACUCUGGGCUCAACCUGGAGACUGCACUUGAAACUGGGUAUCUUGAGGGCAGGAGAGGAAAGCGGAAUUCCUAGUGUAGCGGUGAAAUGCGUAGAUAUUAGGAAGAACACCAGUGGCGAAGGCGGCUUUCUGGACUGAAACUGACGCUGAGGCUCGAAAGCGUGGGGAGCGAACAGGAUUAGAUACCCCAGUAGUC